UGUUAUGGCGGCCGUGCGCGGGAGAUCUUCGGAUCUGCCGGGUGUUCUUGCAGACUCGGUCUUGCACACCUGCGUACGGCUGCCACCUUA
rnacentral:antisense_RNA from 1 species